CUACGGGAGGCAGCAGUGGGGAAUAUUGCACAAUGGGGGAAACCCUGAUGCAGCAACGCCGCGAGAGUGAAGAAGUAUUUCGGUAUGUAAAGCUCUAUCAGCAGGGAAGAAAAUGACGGUACCUGACUAAGAAGCCCCGGCUAACUACGUGCCAGCAGCCGCGGUAAUACGUAGGGGGCAAGCGUUAUCCGGAUUUACUGGGUGUAAAGGGAGCGUAGACGGCGAGACAAGUCUGAAGUGAAAGCCCGGGGCUCAACCCCGGGACUGCUUUGGAAACUGCCUUGCUAGAGUGCUGGAGAGGUAAGUGGAAUUCCUAGUGUAGCGGUGAAAUGCGUAGAUAUUAGGAGGAACACCAGUGGCGAAGGCGGCUUACUGGACAGUAACUGACGUUGAGGCUCGAAAGCGUGGGGAGCAAACAGGAUUAGAUACCCUGGUAGUCCACGCCGUAAACGAUAAAUGCUAGGUGUUGGGGAGCAAAGCUCUUCGGUG
rnacentral:rRNA from 1 species